UGGGCAACCUGCCCUCAGCUCUGGGAUAACUCCGGGAAACCGGGCUAAUACCGGAUACGACCACUCCUGGCAUCUGGGGUGGUGGAAAGUUUUUCGGCUGAGGAUGGGCCCGCGGCCUAUCAGCUUGUUGGUGGGGUGAUGGCCUACCAAGGCGACGACGGGUAGCCGGCCUGAGAGGGUGACCGGCCACACUGGGACUGAGACACGGCCCAGACUCCUACGGGAGGCA
rnacentral:rRNA from 1 species